AAUGGGUCAGCGACUUAUAUUCUGUAGCAAGGUUAACCGAAUAGGGGAGCCGAAGGGAAACCGAGUCUUAACUGGGCGUUAAGUUGCAGGGUAUAGACCCGAAACCCGGUGAUCUAGCCAUGGGCAGGUUGAAGGUUGGGUAACACUAACUGGAGGACCGAACCGACUAAUGUUGAAAAAUUAGCGGAUGACUUGUGGCUGGGGGUGAAAGGCCAAUCAAACCGGGAGAUAGCUGGUUCUCCCCGAAAGCUAUUUAGGUAGCGCCUCGUGAAUUCAUCUCCGGGGGUAGAGCACUGUUUCGGCAAGGGGGUCAUCCCGACUUACCAACCCGAUGCAAACUGCGAAUACCGGAGAAUGUUAUCACGGGAGACACACGGCGGGUGCUAACGUCCGUCGUGAAGAGGGAAACAACCCAGACCGCCAGCUAAGGUCCCAAAGUCAUGGUUAAGUGGGAAACGAUGUGGGAAGGCCCAGACAGCCAGGAUGUUGGCUUAGAAGCAGCCAUCAUUUAAAGAAAGCGUAAUAGCUCACUGGUCGAGUCGGCCUGCGCGGAAGAUGUAACGGGGCUAAACCAUGCACCGAAGCUGCGGCAGCGACACUGUGUGUUGUUGGGUAGGGGAGCGUUCUGUAAGCCUGUGAAGGUGUACUGUGAGGUAUGCUGGAGGUAUCAGAAGUGCGAAUGCUGACAUAAGUAACGAUAAAGCGGGUGAAAAGCCCGCUCGCCGGAAGACCAAGGGUUCCUGUCCAACGUUAAUCGGGGCAGGGUGAGUCGACCCCUAAGGCGAGGCCGAAAGGCGUAGUCGAUGGGAAACAGGUUAAUAUUCCUGUACUUGGUGUUACUGCGAAGGGGGGACGGAGAAGGCUAUGUUGGCCGGGCGACGGUUGUCCCGGUUUAAGCGUGUAGGCUGGUUUUCCAGGCAAAUCCGGAAAAUCAAGGCUGAGGCGUGAUGACGAGGCACUACGGUGCUGAAGCAACAAAUGCCCUGCUUCCAGGAAAAGCCUCUAAGCAUCAGGUAACAUCAAAUCGUACCCCAAACCGACACAGGUGGUCAGGUAGAGAAUACCAAGGCGCUUGAGAGAACUCGGGUGAAGGAACUAGGCAAAAUGGUGCCGUAACUUCGGGAGAAGGCACGCUGAUAUGUAGGUGAAGCGACUUGCUCGUGGAGCUGAAAUCAGUCGAAGAUACCAGCUGGCUGCAACUGUUUAUUAAAAACACAGCACUGUGCAAACACGAAAGUGGACGUAUACGGUGUGACGCCUGCCCGGUGCCGGAAGGUUAAUUGAUGGGGUCAGCGCAAGCGAAGCUCUUGAUCGAAGCCCCGGUAAACGGCGGCCGUAACUAUAACGGUCCUAAGGUAGCGAAAUUCCUUGUCGGGUAAGUUCCGACCUGCACGAAUGGCGUAAUGAUGGCCAGGCUGUCUCCACCCGAGACUCAGUGAAAUUGAACUCGCUGUGAAGAUGCAGUGUACCCGCGGCAAGACGGAAAGACCCCGUGAACCUUUACUAUAGCUUGACACUGAACAUUGAGCCUUGAUG
rnacentral:rRNA from 1 species